rnacentral:rRNA from 1 species
AUGUCAGCAGCCGCGGUAAGACGUAGGGGGCGAGCGUUGUCCGGAAUUACUGGGCGUAAAGAGCACGUAGGCGGGUAUUUAAGUCAGGUGUGAAAGACCGCAGCCCAACUGCGGGGUUGCACAUGAAACUGGAUAUCUUGAGGGCAGGAGAGGUCAGUAGAAUUCCUGGUGUAGCGGUGAAAUGCGUAGAAAUCGGGAGGAAUACCAGUGGCGAAGGCGGCUGACUGGACUGACCCUGACGCUGAGGUGCGAAAGCGUGGGUAGCAAACAGGAUUAGAUACCCUGGUAGUCCGCGCUGUAAACGAUGGAUACUAGGUGUGGGAGGUAUCGACCCCUUCCGUGCCGGAGCUGACGCAAUAAGUAUCCCGCCUGGGGAGUACGGUCGCAAGGCUGAAACUUAAAGAAAUUGGCGG